rnacentral:rRNA from 1 species
GUCGAGAAUCUUUCGCAAUGGGCGCAAGCCUGACGAAGCGACGCCGCGUGCAGGAUGAAGGUCUUCGGAUUGUAAACUGCUGUCUUUGGGGAGCAACGUCCUGACGUGAACAACGUCGGGAUUUGAUAGUACCCGAGGAGGAAGCCACGGCUAACUCUGUGCCAGCAGCCGCGGUAAUACAGAGGUGGCGAGCGUUGUUCGGAUUUACUGGGCGUAAAGGGUGCGUAGGCGGUCCCGUAUGUCGGAUGUGAAAUCCCAUCGAAAACGGUGGAACGGCAUUCGAAACUGCGGGGCUCGAGUGCAGGAGAGGAUGGUGGAAUUCUCGGUGUAGCGGUGAAAUGCGUUGAUAUCGAGAGGAACGCCGGUGGCGAAGGCGACCAUCUGGAAUGCAACUGACGCUGAGGCACGAAAGCUAGGGGAGCAAACAGGAUUAGAAACCCCAGUAGUCC